rnacentral:lncRNA from 1 species
UUUUUUUUUUUUUUUUUUGUUAUAAAAUCGGGGCACAACUGAAAUACCGAAAUCGAAAAAAUAUAAUAUGAAAAUAAUAAUAUAUACUAUAUAUUAUAUAAUAUAAAUAAAUAAAUGAUCCCAUAUCUAGGGAGGGUUGGGCUCCCGGUAGGAGCAUCCACAUCUCAUUCCCUUCGAUCCGACUACUGUUUAGGAAGAGGGCAGUUUCCAACCUUCCUCGUGCUUCGCGGCUCAUACCCUUUCUUGAGUUGAGGUUCAAAGAAGAUUUUUGGUUUAUUUUAUGACUCGAUUUUGUAUUCGUCUUAUUUAUGAGAUUCCUUAUUCUUCCUUCUGGAUUGCUCAUUAUUAGAUUAUGAUGAUUAGGAGUGCAAUCCCCUCAUUAUUAGAUUAGGAAGAAGAGAAAUUCAAUGCCCUCAUUAUUAGAUUAGGAAGAAGAGAAGUCCAAUCCCCUCAUUAUUAGGAAUAGGAAGAAGAGGAACUCUGUUAGUCCCGGUCUCAUAUAUAGGAAGGGAGCUUUCUUUCUAGUCAUAUCCGAAAGUUCCUUCUCCUCUCACUUUGGAACAAUCGAAAAGGAAAGAAAGGGGGAAAAUACCCUUUCUCUAGAGGAAAUGGAAAUGGUGAGUUGGGCCAGGUCCUGAUUCCCAAUGCAUGAAAUACUGGAUCGAAACCACUCAAAUAAGGGGAGCCUUUCAAUCAGUAAUGGAAAGGCAGAAAAACAAUCUUUCCUUCAAUCACAAGCUUGGGGAAGCCUGCGUGCCUAUGUUGCAAGAUCAAUCAAAUCAAAAGUCGUAUAUCUGGGGUCAAUUCUAAAAGUAGCAGGAUUCUCAGGCGAACUCAUUUGAAUUAGUAGGGAUCUCGACAUGGUGAAUCUACCUACUCCAAGUACCCAAAACCUCUGGCAAGACUCCCAUCCCAACCCGAGCUUAUGAAGGAAGAGAAUGUGUAUGCCCUAAAGCUACUCAUACCCUUUCUUGAGUCUAGAGGUAGGCCCAAAGAGUACACUGCCAAUGAGUUGCAGGAACACUCUCUCCUUUUGGAUUGUAUUGCAUUGCAACCAACCUUGUCUUCUAGCAAUCCAAGCAAAGAGCUUCUGAUGUAUGGUCUUGUCUUCUAGCGAUCCAAGCAAAGUGCUCCUGAUGUAUGGUCCUUCCAGCACCCAAAAGAAUAUUGCAGAGAGAAAGAUUGACUUAAGAAAAUUGAAAAUCUCUCAAAUUUCUCCACUAUUUUCCAUUUAUUUGAAAACUCAUCCAAUUAAAGUGUGUCUUUACAAAUCCACCAAAGCCCUUUAUUUAUAGAUAACUUAGAAAGUAGGAGGUGGAUUACAUGGCCACUAAGAGGCCAUGUUUGCUUGACUCAUGAUGAACACUAAGCACACUAAUGGGUUGACAUGUGGCUAUAGCCACUAAGCACACACUAAUAGGCAUCUACUUAUAUUAAUAUUAUUUAUAAUACUUCCUCUUAGAUGUCCAUUACAUAUAUGAAAUAUGUCUCGUUAAAACCUUACUAGAAAAAACCCCAAGGAAAAAAAUCAUAGUAAAGGAAAAAGAGUACAUAUUUCAUAUAUACUUACAAAAAUAAAAUUUACUCCCCCUCAUGGUAACAUCACUUCAGAUCUCUAAGUCGCUGCAUGCCAAUGUUGUGUAAAAAAAUUUCAAAUGUUGCGGUAGGUAGUGAUUUUGUAAAUAAGUCUGUCAAAUUAUCCUUUAAACAAAUUUGUUGCAUUGUGAUGUCGCCAUUUUCUUCAAAAUUAUGAGUAUAGAAAAGCUUCAGUGAGAUGUGCUUAAUUCUAUCACCUUUAAUAUAACCUCCUUUUAUUUGAGUUAUAUAUGUUGUGUUGUCUUCAUAUAAUGUUGUUGAAGAGAGUUUACUAGAAGACAAACCACAUGUUUCCCGAAUGUGUUAAGUCAUCGAUCUUAACCAUAUACAUUCUCGACUAGCCUCGUGAAUUGCAAGAAUUUUGGCAUGAUUUGAGGAGGUGGCUGUUAUAGUAUGUUUUACUAAUUGCCAAGAUAUAGUAGUUUCUCUACAUGUGAAUAGAUAAUAUAUCUAAGAUCUAGCUUUGUGUGAAUUAAAUAAAUAUCCAGAUCAAUGUGCAAAAUCAACUAAGUUAAAAUUUGAUUUAUUUGUAUAAAAUAAUCUCAUAUCAAUUGUUCCUCAGAGAUAACGAAGUAUAUGUUUAGUUCCAUUCUAAUGCCUUUUUGUUGGAAAUAAAUUGUAUCUAGCUAAUAAAUUUACUGAAAAUGCAAUAUCCGGUCUUGUAUUAUUAGCAACAUACAUAAGUGCACAAAUUGCAUUAAGAUAUGGUACUUUUGGACCAAGGAGUUCUUCAUUAUCAUCUCAAGGUCCAAACUUUAUCUUUCUUCUUAUCUAGUGAACGAACUUGCAUUGGGAUAUUCAAUGGAUGCACUUUAUCGAUAUAAAAUAUUUCCAAAACUUUUUUUGUAUAAGUUGAUUGAUAUAUGAACAAAUAUCUCAUAUGCCAGAUGCUCAAUUUGUAAACCAAGAUAAAAUCUUGUUUUUUUUUCGAGAUUUUUCAUCUUGAAUUCUUUCCUAAGAUAUUCUAUUGUCUUUUAAAGCUCUUCAGGAGUUCCAAUUAUAUUUAAACUAUCAACAUAUAUCGUUAUAAUAGCAAAUCAUGAUUGUGAUUUCUUUAUAAAAAAUGCAGGGACAUUAGAUUAUUUUGAUAUCCUUCUUUCAACAAAUAUUCACUCAGGUGAUUGUACCACAUUCGUUCUGAUUGUUUCAAUUCAUAUAAUUAUUUCUAUAUUUCUAUAACUUUAUUGAACAUAGUUUUUGGAAACUUAACUUAUAUGUUUCAGGUAUCUUAAAUCCUUCGGGGACUUUCAUAUAAAUAUCAUUAUCAAAAGAUUCAUAUAAGUAUGUUGUGACUACAUCCAUAAGAUGCAUGUCCAGAUUUUCAUACACAGUUAGGUCAAUAAAAUAUCUUAAUGUAAUUGCAUCCGUCACUGAAGAAUACGUCUCCUCAUAAUCAAUACCAGGUCAUGUGAACAACCUUGUGCAACUAAUCUUACUUUAUAUCUUGUGAUCUCAUUACUUUCAUUUCUUUUUUCUCACAAAUACUCAUUUAUAUCACACACGUUUGACACUUUCUGGUGUUUGGACUACUGGUCCAAAAACCUGACAUUUGGAAAGUGAAUUUAAUUCUACCCCAAUUGCUUCUUUCCACAAAGACCAAUAUUUUCUCUAUUGACAUUCUUCAAUGGAUUUUGGUUCAAAAUCCUCAUUUACGGAUAAAAUAUCAAGAGCAACAUUAUAUGCAAAAAUAUUAUCAACAAUUACAUUAGUUCGGUUCCAUCUUUUUCCUAUCAUGACAUAGUUUAUCGAGUUCUCAUUAUCAUCCUCGACUGUUUUAUCUUCUUUGUCAUUUUUGUCGGAAAUCAAAUUUUGGAUCUCUUCUAGAACAUCCACAUCUUUAAUCAAGUUAUUAACUCGAUUCUUUUCUGAGGAUUUUUAUCUUUGAAACCAACUGGUCUACCAUGCUUUUGGCAUGUUCUAGAUUCAUUAAUGACAACAUGUUGUUUCGGGAUAUCAAUCUUUAAUAUUGGAUAUUUGCAACUGCUAUAUGUGAUUUAGUUACUUUCUUUGCAUCUACAAAUGCAUCUGGUAAUUGAUUUGCUAUAUUUUACGAAUGAAUUAUUUUUUAAACUUCAAGUUCACAUUGAUCUGUACGAAGACCUAAAUGAGACAAUAAUGAUACAUUUCAUGUAAUUUCUUUUUUCAACUUCUUAAUUCAUCUCCAUAAUGUUGAAAAUUUUGUGUAGUUAAAAUGACAAUCAACAAAUCGUGCAGUAAACACAUCACCCGUCAGGGGUUCAAGAUAUUUAAUAAUUGAUGGAGAAUCAAAACCAACAUAUAUUCCUAGCCACCUUUAAGGACCCAUGUUAGUACGUUGUGGUGGAGCAAUUGAAACGUAUACUGCACAUCCAAAAAUUCUCAAAUGAGAAAUAUUUGGUUGAUGGCCAUAUGUUAAUUGUACUGGUGAGUACUUGUGAUAAGUUGUUGGCCUUAUGCACAAGUGACGCAACAUGCAAAAUAACAUGUCCCCAUACAAAUGUAGGGAGUUUAGCCCUCAUAAGCAAGGGUCUAGCAAUUAAUUGCAUACGUUUUAUAAAUGAUUUUGCCAAACCAUUUUAUGUAUGAACAUGAGCUACAGGAUGUUCAACACUUAUACCAAUAGACAUACAAUAAUUAUCAAAUGUUUGGAAUGUAAAUUCACAAGCAUUAUCAAGUCGAAUAUUCUUAAUUGUAUAAUUUGAAAACUGUGCUCUUAACUUAGUUAUUUGAGCAAGUAAUUUUGCAAAUACAAGAUUUCGACUUGAUAAUAAGCACACAUGCGACCAUUUGUUAGAUGCAUCUAUUAAGACCAUAAAAUACUUAAAGGUUCCAUUUGGUGGAUUAAUCGAUCCACAAAUAUCACCAUGAAUUCGUUCUAAAAAUGUAAGUGACUAAAUUCCCACUUAAGCUAGUAAUGGUCUAAUUAUUAAUUUUCCUUGAGAGCAAGCAUCACAUGAUAAUUCAUUAGUUUGAAGAAUCUUCUGGUUCUUCAAUGGAUAUACACGUGAAUUUUCAAUAAUUCUUCUCAUCAUUAUGGAUCCUAGAUGCCUCAAUCGAUAGUGCCAAAUUGCAAAUAUGUCUGAAUUCAUGAACUUCAGGUUCAUUGUUGCAUAUGUUUCAAUUACUCUUAUAUGAGUAUAAUAUAAUCCAUAAGAUAAAGCAUAUAACUUUUCUAAUAUACGUUUUUCAUUUGAGACACGAGAUAUAAUAUAAAGAUAUUCUAUCCCAUUCUUUCUAUCAAUCUCAAUAUGAUAACCAUUGCAACGCGUAUAUCUUUAAAACUCAAUAAAUUUCUUUUUUAUUGACGAGAGAACAAUGCAUUAUCAAUUAUGAAUGUUAUUCCUCUAGACAAAAUAAUAUUUCCUUUUCUAAACCCUUCAAUAAGGUUUGCAGAAUCUGAUAUUGUAUUAACUUUUGCUUCCAACAUUGUCAGUUUGGAAAAAAUAUAUUUUUUACUUGUCAAUAUUGUGUGCGUAAUUGCAUUGUUUGCCAAAACAUAUAACUUAAUUACUCAUUUUUCAGUUAUUCAACAUAAGAAAAUUACUCAUGCUUCUUUAUUAAACAAAAUAAUUACAAUUAGAAAAUAAACAUAGAAUAUAUAUAAAAAUGAGAGAUAAAAUAACAACAUUAAUUAUUAAUUCAUAAAUAAAGCACUUACUAUUUUAUCAAAUAUGAUAAUCUCUUCAAGAGAUUCAAAACUUUACCACGUUCAAAUUUGUCAUACCGGAUGUGUCAAAUAUAUUAUCAGUUUGGUAUGCAAUGUCACACCCCAAUUCACAAAACAACCCGAACGCAGGAAAUAGUGCAGAUAUGACACGAUUUAGCUUAAAACCUUGAAACUGGUCUUAUCCCCUAGCUUAAACUUAACUCUUUUAAACUACCAAGCGAUAAAGAUAAACAUAAUGCAACAGAAGUCAACUUAAACUUUUAUUCAACAACAAGUGUUUAGUACAUGAACAUAUAAUUACAACAUCUUGACCAAAAUAAAUGACAUUAAUCAAAACUCUUAAACGUCUGGUAGCUUCUUCAACUCGCUGCAAGCCCUUCAACAUUCUUCUCUAUUUGGUGCAAAUGUCAAAUCCUGGAAGAUGAAAUUUUACAACACAAGUCUAAAAGACUUAGUAAGAUUUUAUGAAAACCUUUUCACAAUACCUUUUGAUAAAUCAUUUUCGUCAAAUCAUAAAUUUCAACACAAAUCAAUUUAUAAAUAAACACAUCAUUUUGUAAAACAUAUCGAAACAAAUGUAAUUAUUUUUACAAUAGAAUAAGAUCAACUCACAAAUCAUAUCAAUAUACAUUUUACAUAAAUAACCAUUAGUCAGAAUCAUUUCUUUCACCAAGGAUCCCACGUUCUUUACGUUUGGUCUCAUUACCUCGCUUUUAGACUACUGUAUCAACAAAAUCCGAGAACAUACAAAUUCAUUCUUAUUGCUCAGACCGCUUAACACAAUGUCAAUCUUUUUCUACAUUGGCUGACUUCACUUCUAAUGACAGAGACCAAAGUAAGUAUUUUUUAAAAGUUCACGAACCAAAACACAUACUUUAAAAAGUUUAAAAACAAAAAUAGAACAAAAUAUAAAAUUGAUGAAGCCUAAGAAAAGAAUUGUUUUUUCUAAAAGGAAAAGUAUUAUUAUUAUUGUAAUUUGCUUUUAAGGUAAGGCAAUGAUGAAGUUGAAGUCCCCUUGCCUAACCGGAUACGUCCUAUCCCAUACGAUUGUAGUUACCAAGAGUAUGUAUCAUUGGGUUAGAGGUAAAAGAUAGCAUAAAUAAUGGAAGGGCAUUUUGGAAAAAAUGUAACUAAGACACCGCCCUAGAAUAACGCUUGGAGUUCCCCACACUCCCAUAAACAAUACUUCAUUUAACUAUGGACCCUUUUUUGUACCACACACACUCUCCUAUAUAUAUAUAAAAGGGUAGAAUUUUUUUCAAAAAGAAAAAUUGCUUUUGUCAUUUUCAAAUAAUUGGAAUUUUUUAAAGAAAUUUUCAAGAAACUUUGAACCACCUUCAUAAAUGAUUCAAAAUUCAACCAAGUACUAAAAUCAAGUCAUGUGAAAGCUAUAAAAUUCAAACAUGAAAGAUACUUAGAAUUCAUAUAUAUAUAAAAAACAUCUUGAAAAUAAUGUUUGAUUUAUUUUUAAUUUGAUAUUAUCGUAAGUAUUAUUUGCUCCACCAAGAACUUAGGUGGUUUUUUUCAAAAAUAUUUUGUAGAAAUUAUUUUAAAUUUCAAAAACGAGAAAUUUUUCGUUUUAGACCAUUGAUUUCAAAUUUUAAAUCUUCAAUAGAAACGGGUAUUUCUACAUUUGAAGUUUGUAAAAAAAUUUAAAGACUUUUUUCAGAAAUUAUUUUUUUCUUUGAAGAUGGUUUUGAGGAAAAAUUAUCAUCUUAAAGAAUCUCGGGGUGUUUCUAAAUAUUUCUUUUUAACUCUUGAUUUGAUUGAACAUGAUUUGAUUGUUUGAAAUAAUAAACCAUAUUUGAAAGUUAAAACAUUUGUUUCGUUUAAAACACAUUUACAUGGGUCCUUAAUACACCCACAUGCUCUUGGUCUAUCAUAUGAAAAAGAUUAGCUUGAAAUUUUUAAGUCGGUUUCAUUUGCAUUUUUCUGCAAUUGAUAGUAAAAAAUAUAGGAUGAAUUUGGAGAAUAUUCUUCUUCGUUUAUCUCAUGGAUUCCUCUUUGCGGACAUCUAUUAGCAUAAUAUCCAUCAAUAAACAUUUCUUUCCAAUGUCUGGCAUUGCAAUUCUUGAAGAUAUAAAUACUAAAUAAGAACAUAUCUUUGUACCAUCUAAAGGUUUCCAUACAGAAAUAUUUUAGACUUUUUAUUAUUUUCUUUUGGUUGUCUAUAUCAGUUUCACUUCCUAAGCUGAAAUGUCUGUUGAUAGUGUAGAGAAGAACUUCUACAACAUCCUCUCGAUCUUCUUCUACUUCUUGAGUUGUUGAAGUUCCAUCUUAAGUUUUAAUCCUCCUUUUAACUAUUGUCCUAUUGUUUUUAAUUGCUUCUUUUUUUUCAUUGGUUAGGGCAUGACCCCACCACAAUUUGAUACUUCCACUAAAUCCAUUAGUCAGAAGCAUAGCAGCUUCUCCAUUUAAAUGACCAUUGGAUUCAUAGGCUAUAGAACAAGUUAACAUAUUAUUUAAUAUGUCAUAGAUUUGAAAUUUCGAAGCUCCAUCAAUAUUUUUUUUCAGUUUUAUCCUUUUAAUAACGUUUUAGUUGGGUAAAUUUAGUCUUUGUACUAUGCAAUUAGAGUUUUAUUGGGAGACUAUUUAAGUAUUGCCUUUAGGUUGUACAAAGUAGUUUUUGAUAUACGAAGAUUCAUAAUUUUCUAUCAAAGGACUUUGGUAGAUAGCAUGCCAAGAACACUAAGGUAAUUUAGCUCCAAGUCGUUUCUACAACGACAACAUGAGCUUGCUGAACAACAAGGUCAAUCGAUCAAUCAAAUGAAGUUGUUCAAAGAAACACACGCUUGGGAUGGUCAGUCAUUUCCCUGGCGAUCGCAGAUGCGCAUGUAAGUUUCUGUGAUACUUUUGUCUUAUUUUGUACAUUUAAUUUACAAGUUUAACUUAAUUAAAUAAUUUAUUGCAGUAUCAAAUGUUGGAACUUCAGUCCCAGCCCACCCUAGAGGCUUCUCAACCACUCUCAGGUAACGAGAUAUGCGAGGCAGUUUUAGGUAGACAACUAGGCUACUCAAAAGGUAUUGGUUGGGGUCCAUGGAAAAAGUUUCGAAACAUUGCAGACAAUUCUUCAUCUACAUCAUACGAGCGAGAGAUGCACACCAGAGAGGUUAUCGAGUUAGAAGCUCGUAUUGAGGAAGUGACAGAGUUGCAUGAGCGAGCAAUACAAAUAAAUUACCGAAAACACAAAGAAAAUGCCGACAGAUGAAAGAAAUGACGAUGAUUGAAGAUUUUACUCGGGCACAGAGAGGACCUUGAUUCUAUUGUGGUACGUAUUUUUCAACGUUUAACUUCUUUAAUAUCUUAUUGGUGAUAUAUAUCUAAAUUUAAUUUCAUGUCAUUGUAGGUUGGGGGCAUGAGGGAACUGGCAUCUACGACGCUCUUAGUAGAUUUGCUUUUAGUUUUUAUUUUAUAUCUUUCAUGUAAUUUUUUAACCUUCUGUACGCUUUUAAUAUUUGAAUUAAUUAUAAUUUAAAUUUGAUUUCAUAUUUUAAUUGUAUUUUAUUAAUUUUACAUUAGCUGUGUUUCAAAAUUUGAUUGAAUUUAAAUUAAAUCAUAACUCAAUAAUAAAAAAAUAGUUAAAUAAUAAUAAUAAAAAUAUAAUUUAAAAGCUUUUUCUCGACGCACAAGCGCAUCGAGAAUGGCCCCUAUACCGACCCUGUGUCGAUCCAAAAUUUUUUGACGUUUCAUAGAUCAUUCGUUAAUGCCAACGCGUUGAUCAAACGUCGGGGUUGGGUGCCCCGAUGUGUUGAGUCAGUUGGCGGAGUCAACAUCGGCAUAAGCGUAUUAUCAACAUCAUUUUGUUUUGCGUCGACCUUACCUAUUUCGAUGCAAUACAUCCAACAUCGUCCACUAUUGUUGCUUGUGUUGGGCAAGCCUUUUCUGACGUGUUUUCUGGUUUUGGCCGACACAUAUGUGCGUGGGGAUAAUCCUUUCUCUUUGUAGUGUAAUUGGUCUCCAGCAAGAUAUUGUGGCUACACAUAUUAAAUUAAAAUCGUGAUCCAACAUAACCUAAUGUAAUUAUUGUUUUAAUCAUUUUAUCACGCGAUAUCUAUAAUUGAAUAUAAAGCAUGGACAAAGCCAUUUUAUCUAAUUCAAUUGCUUUAUCGAUCAAUAAGCAUAUAGAACUAACAAAUGACAUUAAUACCGUUAUUAAUUCAUUUAUAGCACAGUCAUGCAUUUCCAUAGUCACUCUUAAUCGAGGGAUCUAGCUAGAGAUACUUUCUCCAUAACAAGAGAUAUAUAAGUUCCAUCUUGAUUAAUCAUUGUCAACUACAUAAUUCAAAAUGUAUUCAAGUACGAAUAACGUUUGAUUGUAUCAUAAUAGAUUAAUUCUUGUAUUAAAUGACAAUACUACCCUCAUCUAAGUUCUUACCACAAAUUCCACAGUACCAAAAAGCUUUCUCAAACAUAACUAAUGGGUUAAAAUAGAUAUAAAAGUAAUGUUUUAAUUAAAUAUUCUUAAAAAGACAAAAGUUGACAGAUUCGGAGAAGGAAAGAAAGAGAGAUGUAAGUAUUAAGAGCAAAUAAUUUGAGAAUAAGAUUUGGUGGAAAGAUACAAAAUAAUAAUAAUAAUAAUAAUAAGUUUGAUAUGUUUUGCAUUUAUUAAAACAAUAAAUAUAAUAAUGGGUGGGGUUUGUGGCUAAAAUAAUUUGCUUACGUAAUUUUAAUCUAUACAAAUAUUGCCCUCUCUUCCACUAAACCCAUUUAUGGAUAACAGAUUAAACCUGCUUUUGUUUUAACUUCUUCUUCUCCUUUUGCAUCUCUUAUUUAAUUCCCUUUCUCUUAUUUUAUUACUUUCGUCAUCUAUGGUGUCCUUAUGUUUCCAUUAUCCAUCAUUUGUUGCAAUUAGAGGUGCCAAAUGAUCUAAAGAUUAUCCAUAUCCAUAUGCCCUUUUUAUUUUUUAUUUUGGUUUCAAAUAGAUUUGUUGGAGAUGUGUUAGUAUAAAGUUUCCCACAUAUUUUUAUAUACACAUAAAAGAUAGGAGUGUAAUUUUUAGUUUCUAAAAGUUUAGUUCUCUAUUUUCUAAAAUUGUUACACGUAUGAUAAUUUCGUUUUAUAUUUAAAAAUUUAUAAUAAUUUAAUCUUUUAUAUUACCUUAGGGAAAACAUCGUUCCUCAAAUUCAUAACUUUACAAUUAAUCCUUUACAUUUUCCUUGGAAAAAAAAUUGGUAACUUAACUUACCAUUUUUGUUUAAUCAAAUUUUAGUCUAAUUUUUUAAUUUUGUUUGUUUAGUUUUUAAAAUUAAAUAAAAUAUUUUUAAAAUAUAUUUGAGUGACAAAAUAUUUACACCACCUAAAACAAUUUUGAGGAUGAAAAAAUACCACAUGCCUACAAUAAAUAAUACAAAAAAUGUUAUGUGAUUAAUUGUGACGCAGUGCGCGUAAUAUAUUUGGUAAACAAUCGUUUAUAUUUGGCUUAAACGAUUGUUUACAUUUGGCUAUUCUAUAGGAUUGUAUUUGAUCGUUUAGAUUCGAAUUGCAAAAUUUAAAUGACUUUUUUUCAAGAUUUUUUGGUACACGAGAUUGUUUAGAUUUUUUUAUCGUUUAAAUUUAGAUAACCAAAUCUAAACAAUUUUUUUCAAAAUUUUGGUAUAUAAUCGUUUAUAUUUAGUUUAAAAUUGGAUAGCCAAAUCUCAACAUUUUUUUUUCAAGAUUUUUUGGUACACAAUAGUUUAUAUUUGAUACACGAUCGUUUAAAUUUGAUUACCCAAAUCCAAACAAUUUUUUUAAAAAGAUUAUUUAGUACACGAUCAUUUAGAUUUGAUUAUUUUUUUAUACAAUAAUUUAGAUGUGGCUCUCAAAUCUAAACAACGUUUUUUUCAAGAUCUUUUAUAUUUGGUAAACGAUCUCUUGAACAACCAACCGUUUGGAAAAAAAAUUAUUUGAUACACAAUCUUGAACCAAAAAAAUAAAAGAAAAAUGGCCGAAGAAGAGAAGGAAGACGAUGGAAAGAAAAAAAAAAUAUAAACCGUAGAAUAGAAAGAGAAGAAAGACGAUGAAAAGAAAGACAAAUCUAGAACAUUUAAACAAAAUGACUAGCUUAAUGGACUUUUCAUUUUGUAGGAUCAAUCAUAAUAACCGUAAAGUUAAGCAUAUGUUAGCUUGGAGCAAUCUUAAGUUAGGUGUCCUCUUCAGAAUUUUCCUAGUAUGCAUGUGAUUGAGAACAAAACAUGCUAAAGAAAUAUGUGUUAGUUCUUGGAAACAACUUUUUCUUUUAGAAACUUUUGAGACAAACAAAAAUGACAAUGUUCGAUCACACGAGAAGAAGGAAACCAUCUGUUGCAAAAUCUAGAUUCCAAAUCCUAGGCCUUUUACAUCAUAAUAGACAACGAUUGACUAUUAGAAUUCAAUCUUAAAAAUGCUUAUCCACUUUUUCUUUUUUCAUUUAGAAAAAAAAUGCUUAUACUUUUUCUUUUCUCAUUUAAAGAAAAAAAAAAAAAAAAAAAAAGCUUAUACCUCAAGUGUAGGGGAAGGACUAAAUAAAAAUCAUAAAAGAAAGCAUAUCAUAAAAAUCAUAUUAUAAAAUAAAAUCAUUGGCAAAAGAUAUGGUAUGGACAACAGGGGAAUUAUAAAUGUGCAAGGUGGCUCAAGUGGUGUUUGGUUUAAAUAAAUAGUUCACAAUCAAGAAAAUUAUAGGAAAAUUACUUAAAACAGCUUAAGCAUGGAGAGCAAUAAGAAAUUAUAAUAUAUGAAAUUUAAGGUCUAAAGUUGUGGGGGCACAACCCCUUUUCCCAUCCUUCCAUAAUCUUCAUUAUUUUCAAACCUUAUAUUAUUGUUGUAAUAAUUCCAAACUCCACUCUAUUAAAAAUUAAUAUAUUUUAGAAUAUUUUUAAAAUUAAUAUAAAUAAAUCAAAACAUUUACAAAACUAUACCAAAAUUUUUAUAGUGAUAGAAUUUGUUAUAAUUUACCAUUUUUAAAAAUUUCUUUAUAUUUUAAUUAAUAAAAUUUAUUUAUUAUUUAAUUUUUAAAUAUACUUUUUUUUUUAAAUCUAAACUUUUAGUUUUGUUUUGGGUGUGUAAUAGAUUCAUAAAUUUUCAUAAAAGCUUUUCUAAAUUUUAAUAUUUUUACUACUUACUUUUAACUUUUAAAUUUUAUAUGUUAUAGAUAUAUGAUAUAUAUAACAUUUUUAAAUUAAUAAGUUGGUGAGAAACGUAUAUUAAGUGUUGUGUUAGUAGGAAAUAAACUUUUAACUAUUAUGAUUUUUUUAAUAAAAAAAUCGCUCAUUUAUAAUAAUUAAAUAUAGGAAACAAUUAGUCUAUGCAGGAUUAAAAGUUUUCUAAAAGAUAUAUUGCAUACCAAAUAAUAUUAUUUUAGGAACAGCAAAACAUAAAAUAAAUUAAAAAUUAAACAGAUUCACAAUUAAAAAAAAGGAUUGAAGAUCCAAUUAGCCACAAACACAUAAAAGUUGAGAAAUUAAACUUAUAAUUUGAUAUUUUCCUUUUGGUAGAAGUACAUCUUAGAUGAGCCAAAGUUGAUUUGAAGAGCCAAAUUGUAUAUCCAAGUCAAUGUAUUUGUGGGGUUUCUAGAGAGCUCCAAUGUUUUGAUUGGCUUUUGUGGAGUGUAGGAGGACCUUAUGAUUAAAUAUAUAACUAUUAUACGCAAUUAAUCAUCCAUUAUCCAAUUUGCAGUUGAAAUAAUGACGACUUUGUUUGUAUGUGUUUCUCUCACCUUUUUUCUGUUUUUUAUUUUCAUAAGAAAAAGUUUAUAAAGAUGAGACCAAAGUGUGUUGGAUUUUGGCAGUGAUGGAACAUUGCUUCAUAGUUGAAAAGAAAAGAGAGAAGAAAUAAACAAACAAACUAAACGCAUUGCAAAGUGGAUCAUAAUUAAUCAAACUUGCAAGUAAACUUGACUCUUAUUUGUACGUUGAUUUCAUGGAUCGGACCAAAAAAAGUCAAUUACAUCAUGAUUGGUUAGUGUCAAUCAUCUUAAUAUAUAUAUAUUAUUUAAUUUGCAUAAAUUGGGAUAUCUCCAUUUUUUAGAAGGAAACAGUGUUGAGAGCAUGGAGCUCCCGACACCGAAUUUAUUAGAAUAUCAAGAGACUACAAAAUGCUAGAGAGAAGCCCUAUACUCUUAAGUUAGAAAAGCGGGAAAGUUAAGAGCUAAUGAACUAGAAGGAUAGUCUUUGAAUAGGUGGUGGUGGCUACACCACAAACCUAUGUAAUUACAGCUAUCUUUCCACAAAUUCAAGAAGCUAUUUUGUUUGUUAACAAAUAUUCUUUUUUUUCUCUCUCCAGAUGCUUCAAAGAACAACUACGAUUGCAUUUGUGAUAAUGAUUGUCUCUAAUCCUCAACUGAUGAUAACCUGAGCGUAAAUCAAUCUUAGAGAAUACAAUGGCUUCUUCCGACUGAUCAAACAAAUCAUCAAUUCUGGGCAGUGGAUACCUGUUCUUGAUCGUUACUUUAUUAAGUUCCCUAUAGUCAAUGUAAAGACGCAUCGACCAUCCUUUUUCUUCACAAAAAGUACUGGUGCUCUCCAAGACAACAGACUAGGUCGAAUAAGACAAAUUAACUCAAGUAAUUGUACCUUCAGUUCUUUCAAUUCAGCUGGAGUCAUUCUAUAUGGGGCUCUCAAAAUGAGAACGGUACAUGGCUUCAACUCAAUAGAAAAAUCGAUCUCCCUGUGAGGCGAAAGUCCUAGAAGCACUUCUGGAAACACAUCAGGGUAUUCUCUUACCACAGGUUCUGAUGUCAAAGAAAUCUCAGCUUCCCUAUUAUCCACCACACUGGCCAAAAUAUUCUAGGUACUCUAGUUCAACAGUUUACUGACUUUCAUCGUUGUAAUUACUUUAGGCAGUACCACAGUCCUUACCCUUUUAAAUUUAAAACUAGGCUUGGUAGGAGGACUGAACACUACCUCAUUGCGAGAAAAAUCAAUACUAGCAUGAUUGACAGCUAACCAAUCCAAGCCUAAAAUCACAUCGAAAUCAUGCAUAUCCAAUACUAAUAAUGUUACAUCCAACACCCGACUAGCUAUCUCAAUUUGACAUGCUUUAAUCUUUUCGUUGACAACAUAAUUUCCCCAGAUGGUGUAGACACUAAUAAAACAUAAUCUAGGGGUUCCACUUCUAAACAUGCAGGUGUUACAAAUAUCAACGAUAUAAAAGAGUUGAGAGGAACCAGAGUCAAACAAAGUUAAGGCAAAAUGUCCCAACACUGGUAGCGUAUCUGUCACAACUGUGCCAACUCCCUCAGCCUCAGAUUUGCUAGUGGCAAAGAUUUUGCCCUACUGUGAUGCUCUUGUCCCCUUACUGUUCUACCCAGCCUUAGUAGGUCUCAAAGGACAACGAUCAGCUGUAUGCCCCUCUUACCUAUACUUGAAACAAAUCCUAGUCCCAAAUAAACAGCAACCCAGAUGGUGCUUUCCACAAGUGUUGCACAACGGUUUCUCUCUGGCAGUUUUACCUGCACCAAUGGGAUUCUGCUGGAAUGGGAUUCUGCUGGAAAAGGUGAGAAUCACCACUUGACCUCAAGUUUCUCUGUUUAGGGUUUCUUUAUUUAAGUCUUGUAUUAGGAUCUUGUUUCAUGUAUUAUUGUAGAAGGUAUAUACAAAUACAAAUUUUAAGAUUUCAUUUUGUGUAUACAAACGUAAAAGAAAAAUAUUGUAGUUUCUAAAAUAAUAUUAAUUUUAUUGAUUCGUUGGUGUGAAAAAAAUAUUUAUCUACACGUACCCAAUGUUGGUUUAUAAAAAAUGGACAAUAAUGCAACAAUUAAAUAAAAAUAGAUCAAAAAAUAAGACUUUAAUGUCGGUUUUAAAAAAUAAUUUAUAAAAAUAGAUCCAGAAAUAAGACUUUAAUAUCGGUUUAAAACCACAUCAAAGGCCAACCAACACUAAAGAUCUUCAAUAACACCAUCAAAAAUGUCGGUUUAAAAAUGACAUUAAAGGCCUUUAAUAUCGUUUUUAAACCGACAUCAAAGUAGAAACGACAUUAAAGACAUUCAAUAACACUAGCAUAGAUGUCGGUUGUCAACUGACACUAAAGGUCAUUCAUUAAAGGCCAGAUUUCUUCUAGUGUAACAUAGAUUGCAAAGAUAUGAACAACACUAUAAAAGAAGAGAUGCUUUGUAAACCUGCAUUUCAAGAGAAAAUGAAAGUGACACCGCAAAUUAUAAGAAGGAAGAACAUGGACUUUGAAAAAGAAGGAAUACAUUUUCAUACUUCUCAAUAGACAUAAAGGAAUGGAUGCAUUCACGCACACAGAACUCCAUUAACUUCACUGCAUUAUAACAUAUAAUGAAAGGAAAGAAAAACGUAAGGCAUUGAAUGCAUCAGUUAACAUACCAAGUAAGAUGGAAAGGAAUUUUUAGGAUGAGAAAGAGGAAGGAGGCACACAAAAGGCAGAGGCAUGGAGCAUGUAUAUAUAGGUGGGGAUGAGCUACUUUAAUGAUGCAUUCAAGACCCCUAACCAAAAAAUCUGAACAAACAUUGUGAUAAUGACAGUAGAAAACACAAAGCAGAGGGGAAAGGACAUAGUCAAAACCUUAAUCCAACAGUUCUGCCACAGAACAAAAAAUGAUGAGUAAUGCACAAGUAUGAAGAGAUAGAAGCAUCAGAAGAGAGAAAAUAUAUUACCAAAACAGUAUAUCAAAUGGUCUGCAUAGUUAUGAAGACACAGAAGCAUGAGAAAUAGCAUAGAAAAAGCAAAAAAUAGGAUGUCAUUAUAGCAGCAUCAGACAGUGAGUUGUUCAACCAAAGAUUAACACAAGAAAAAAAUAAUAUAAGCAUGUACAAAAGUAAACGGAACCGUAAUCAAAAUGUAACAAUUUCACAUAACAAAAAAUGAGCAUGGAAAAAUUACACACAUAUGGAAAUAAAUAACAAAAUGAUCAUUUCAGAAGACCUCAUCAUCAGCAAAAUGAAAAAUAGUGACAAUGUUAUAGUCGGGUUGUAAAAUGGGAGGUUUGAGUGACAAGACUAGAAGACUAGCCAUGCAACGAACUAGAGUUGGUCCCAGGAAGAGUUUCAGAGGCCUCAAUCGUGGAAAUGAAGCCAAUCAACAAAACCCAAAAAAGGACAGUAAAACGUUAUGGAGGCAACACGUUUAAAUGCUUCCAUCAACGAAACGCAAACCCAUUUCAUAUAUGUGAUUGGGGGAAAAAAUAAGGGAUUCGUAAAUGACGAAAAUGAGGGGUUGGAAGACGCAAGCAGAAAUGGGAAAAACCAGCAUUGGACACGGGGGAGUUGAGAACCGAUUGAAACUGUGAACGGAGAGAAGGAAAGCAAACUUUGAAACGGAAAAAGAUGAAAACAAACCUUCAAAAGGAGGAAAGACGAAAACAAAAAAUCGAAAGGGGGAAAGACGGUAACCAAACUUUGAAAGAGAGAAAGAUUAAACCAACAAUCGAAAGGGGAAAAGAUGAAAACCAACCUCCUAAACGGUGAAAGACGAAGACGACAACAAGGAAAGGAGGGAAUGAGCUCGAACUAAGGGAGAGUUGGUAAGGGAUUACAACAGACACAAGGGAGAGAGAGGUAGUGUUAUGGGGGAGUCGAUGAUGAAUUGAAAAGGCAAAAGGGGAGUGUGAUACUAGUUGAGGAAGUGUACAGCGAGGGUUUGAAAUCCUAAAACUAUGUAGUGAUAAUACUUCCCACGAACAAUCCACGGCCCAAACGGCCCCGAAGUGUCUAUUUUUACGAAGAAUAUUAAAUAUUAAUUGUAUUGGAUACUAUAUUAUUUUAUUUUUAAGAAAAUGAGUAAUUUUACUGUAUUAUUUCAUUAACUACUUGUAGAACUUUGGGCAAAAGAAUUAUUUG